UACUAAUAUUUUUGUUUUACGUUGUGUGUCCAUGUGCUGUUGCCACAGAAACGGAUUUUCCUGAAGGUUUCUUUGUUGGUGAUCUGUUAUUGGUUGCACCGUUUGUGCUAUACACGUCUCCGUCCACCGCUUCUACUUCCAAUAAAAAAUGUACACAGAUUAGUAACAUGUCCACCGCUCCAUCUUUCUACACAUCAACAAGCUUCCAUUGGCUCCAAAAUCCACCGUCUCUCUUUAAAGGCAUCGACAUACAAGAAGAACAGUUCCUCCACUUCUCCUCCAAGGUUUGCUUCUAUUUCUCUUCUUCUCCCGCCUUUCUCCCAAAUCCAGGAACCAUAGACGCUCCAUCAACAAAAAUCAUCAAUCGCAUUCACCUCCAUGUUUCUCCAAUACCGCCUGUUUGGAGCCAGAGUUGCUUCAGACUCACCGCGUUUGUCUGCGGCUCUACUUCUGACCAACUCUCUCUCAAUUAGAUAACUACCUAUAUGCUUCAUCGACAUCCUCUCCUAUCCGGUUUUUGAUUAGGGCCCCACUAAUAGCAAACAAAUAAGACAAAGGUUCGUUUUCACACAGGAAGCUAGGAUGGAAUGAAGGUUUCAUUUUGGAUUUGUAAUUAAGCUACACUUUUAUUUGGGGGGUCAUGCUGUGCCAGAGUUCGGUUCUACCAUCAGCGCUCCACACCAUAGUCUUUCCUCUAACACAACCCAAUGGUAAAGAAAUUGGCUAUCGAAUCCAUUUGUGAUUUACAAACCCAUGAAGUAGUUGUUCAUUCAGAAGCCUCAAAAGUGAAAGAAGAGAGCAUUAUCUCAGCAAGAAGCGGGUAUAUCAGAUAUAAUCAUGUUUUUUCCUUUUGUUUUGACUUUUUUUUUUAAUUUAUGAUUAUGGUUUAAACAAAAAAAAAGUACAAUUUAUGAUCAUAUUUUUUUCAAAAAUCAAGGAAAUAUUAUCUAUAUGAGGCUUGCGAUUCAUUAAACACUUCAAAAGUAAUACCAAUUCUUUUAACCUAUUAAUUCAAGAAGGUUUUGCUGCAGUGUUUGGAUAUGGAUUAUCAAUUUUUUUUAAGAUAAAGGGGAAAGGUAGGGAAGUAAAUAUGUAAAAUCCAAUAUGCAUGACACGUAAGGGCAAUGCUUUCAUUUUCUGGUUAGAUUGGUAACUGUUUUUUUAUAUGUGGUUUAGGUUAAAUUGGUGAUGCUUUACUGAAGGUCAUCAUAGAAGGGUUUAAGAGCUACAAAGAACAAGAUGCAAUUGAUGAUUUCAAUUCAAAAUUUAAUUGUGUUGGUAAUGAUAUUCAUUUAAGGUCUUAUAUUUUAUUUAUUUUCUGUUAUGCUCAUAUAUAUGUUGUUCAUUCAAACUUAUCUUUGAUUGUUAUGCUCAUAUACAGUUUGUUCAUAUAUUU